rnacentral:rRNA from 1 species
UACCUGGUUGAUCCUCCCAGUAGUCA